rnacentral:lncRNA from 1 species
CCUGAUAUGAAACAGCUCAAGAGGAAAGGAGAUGGGAGGCCAACAACACAAUUGGCGAGAGCUUCGAAUUCCGAUAGGUAAGCACUCACGGUGCCCUUCUGCAUCAAUUUGAACAAUGCCCCGGUGGGGUCCUCGUAGUGUGAGGGUGCAAAGCGAGUCUGCAAGGCUUGCAAGAAAACCGGCCACGAGGUAAAUUGGCCAUUAUUGGCCAUUCAUUGGAACCAGGCGAGGGCCUGUCCCUCCAUAUAAAAUGAGGCUAUGGUCAAACGCUCAUGAGCAGGUGUGCCAUGGUACUCAAAAAAUUGGUUGAUCUUAAAGAUCCAACCAGAGGGGUCUGUGCCAUCAAAACGAGGCACGUCUAACUUCAUUUUGUGAAUGGAUGCAGGGGACGAUGGUGGUUGCGAUAGGAUUGGGUUCGGUGGUGUGUUGGGGGAGAAAAUGGGGG